rnacentral:lncRNA from 1 species
UUUACUAUGUACUAGUUGAUUUAUUUCUUGCCUUAUUUACCUCCCUUAUGUAUUUACCCUUUAUUACAUGUUAUGCACAAUGCAUGUUAUGCACAAUGUGUUACUUGAUUCUGUUUCCUUAAAUAAGAUUCUGCCCUUUACCAUUCAAGUUCGAACUCCUUAAUUAAAGGAAUUCCCCUUCUUGUGAUUGAUUUUAAUUGAUACUGAAUUAUUUU